rnacentral:rRNA from 1 species
ACGAACGCUGGCGGCGUGCCUAAUACAUGCAAGUCGAACGCACUCUCGUUUAGAUUGAAGGAGUUUGCUCCUGAUUGAUAAACAUUUGAGUGAGUGGCGGACGGGUGAGUAACACGUGGGUAACCUGCCCUAAAGUGGGGGAUAACAUUUGGAAACAGAUGCUAAUACCGCAUAAAACCUAACACCGCAUGGUGUAGGGUUGAAAGAUGGUUUCGGCUAUCACUUUAGGAUGGACCCGCGGUGCAUUAGUUAGUUGGUGAGGUAAAGGCUCACCAAGACCGUGAUGCAUAGCCGACCUGAGAGGGUAAUCGGCCACACUGGGACUGAGACACGGCCCAGACUCCUACGGGAGGCAGCAGUAGGGAAUCUUCCACAAUGGACGAAAGUCUGAUGGAGCAACGCCGCGUGAGUGAAGAAGGUUUUCGGAUCGUAAAACUCUGUUGUUGGAGAAAAAUGUAUCUGAUAGUAACUGAUCAGGUAGUGACGGUAUCCAACCAGAAAGCCACGGCUAACUACGUG